rnacentral:rRNA from 1 species
UACGUAGGGGGCUAGCGUUGUCCGGAAUCAUUGGGCGUAAAGCGCGCGUAGGCGGCCCGGUAAGUCCGCUGUGAAAGUCAAAGGCUCAACCUUUGAAUGUCAGCGGAUACUGCCGGGCUAGAGUCCGGAAGAGGCGAGUGGAACUCCUGGUGUAGCGGUGAAAUGCGCAGAUAUCAGGAAGAACACCCGUGGCGAAGGCGAGUCCCUGGACAACACCUGACACUGAGGCACGAAAGCUAGGGGAGCAAACAGG